GAUGAACGCUGGCGGCGUGCCUAAUACAUGCGAGUAGAACGCUGAAGGAGGAGCUUGCUCUUCUGGAUGAGUUGCGAACGGGUGAGUAACGCGUAGGUAACCUGCCUGGUAGCGGGGGAUAACUAUUGGAAACGAUAGCUAAUACCGCAUGACAACAGUUAUUGCAUGAUAACUGUUUAAAAGGGGCAACUGCUCCACUACCAGAUGGACCUGCGUUGUAUUAGCUAGUUGGUGAGGUAACGGCUCACCAAGGCGACGAUACAUAGCCGACCUGAGAGGGUGAUCGGCCACACUGGGACUGAGACACGGCCCAGACUCCUACGGGAGGCAGCAGUAGGGAAUCUUCGGCAAUGGACGGAAGUCUGACCGAGAAACGCCGCGUGAGUGAAGAAGGUUUUCGGAUCGUAAAGCUCUGUUGUAAGAGAAGAACGAGUGUGAGAGUGGAAAGUUCACACUGUGACGGUAUCUUACCAGAAAGGGACGGCUAACUACGUG
rnacentral:rRNA from 1 species